CUAUGUGAGGAAAGUUUCGCUUUUGUAUUCAUUCUAUUUAUUUGCUGCUGGCAUGAGAACCCUAAACGCUAAAUAGGCAGAGUUAUUUAAGCAUAAGAUUCAAAAGUAGCGAAGAAGGUGGUAUGUUACAUCGGUGAGUGUUCGAGCCCGUAGCAGAUAGCUCUUAUUAAACUAGGUCAGUCGAGACAAAAGUGAAUAAACCCGCUCAACGGAGGCAGCCAAAUGACUGGUUCUUGAGUAACAGGUUGGCUUGCGGCUGGUAAAUAAACGAAUCAAACGAUAGAACCGUUUCUUAUGAACAGGUUGUGUUGCUUUGUUAUGAAAACAAGUUGUGUUAUAACUCUGGUCUCGUUAGUUGGUAAAAUAACAGAACAAGUUAGUUAGUUGGUAAAAUAACAAAAAAAUUUCUAGUACGUAUCACGGGCAAAACGAUUAUAGAUGGAAAAGACGUUUCCAGAACGCUCACAUUGAACUUUGCCAAAGCCUAAGGACUGUGUUCUCUUUUAGAGUUUUCGAUUGAAGGAACUGGUGUAGUUUUCUGCACUGAAAUUGCACUUUUCUUGCAGCAUUGUUGUCAAAACACCGACACCAUGUUCCAUUGAUUGGAACUGCAAUAAAAAAGUACAAUUCCAGUGCAAUUUCGGGGCAGAGAUUUGGCACCGAAAAUUUUGUCGAUGGAGCCAGUGCAAUCACUAAUACCAACAACGCAAAUGUCAUAACAACAUUGGAAGAUUGUGGCACGAAAAAAUUCAAAAAUCUUCACGAAUGCAAACUUUUCCAAACUAGUGUGGACAGAAUUGAGAGCCCGCGAGUCUUGAAGCUUGAAUCAGAUGGAAUGCUGUCGAUCGUGAAAAGCAGUGGCUGUUGGUGUUUUUACUUUCAGAGAUGUUCGGUGCUGCGACAACUGAACAAAUGACCAUCAUGCUAUCAACAGUGAUAGUGAUAAUCGCUUGUGCACCCUGACUGAUAGCACUCUUCUCUGAGCCCUGGUUAAACUUCACCCUACUUUGAUGGGCAGAGCGAUUGCCCCGAACAAAUCGGUUCGGAAUCCUGAAUGGAUUCAAGCUCAAAUACAAUAACCAAUACUGAAAUUGGUUACUGCUCUUGCCAUAGUCUUCCAGUUUCCGGUAAAAUAACCAACGUAGAGCUAGGUUGCAGUAGAGUGGCCGCGAAGGCUGAUGCAAAUCGUAGAAACUGUGUGGGUCCGUAGGUUCUAGGAAACCUUCCCAGCCAUCGAAAUUAGUCGUUCAUCAAAAUGUGGGAAGAUAUAGUUUGCAAUGUCGGUAAGACAAAUUCAUCCUUAGAAAGCUGCUCUAUUGCUUUGCGAUAAUUUGAAGAUUUACAUUAAUCGAAAAUAAAAUGUUGCAUUAAAUAAUUUUUUUUUAAUUCGUUUAUUUGAUAAGGCAGGUUUGCGUUAGCUUAAAGGUGCCAAUUUUGUUUUGUUUUACAUUUUAAA